CUCUCUCUCCCCUCCUCCCUCCCUCCUCCCUCUACCCCUCACAGGCACGCACUCUGUCAGUGGAAGAGAGGAUUUCAAAAUCCAGCUGUAGCUCAAAGUGCUCGUCUCCCUGGGCAAAUCCAGCCAAGAUGAAUUUGGCUUUUUCCCCUAUUUACCGAUUCUUUCAUGUUUAUGACCUCUUUUGAACACAUAAUGCUCUGCUAAGAUCUGCCAUCAGGACCCGUGAGGGAGUAGGUGAUGUGCUGAAGAAGACCAGAAGUUUUUCCACAACAGCUGAAGCACCUGCCUAUGACUCAUUUGAGGCACUCGGACUACGCAUUCUGACACAAUGACCAUGUUGCUCUAGUCCACUCUGGGUUUUUCGUUUUCUUUUUUUUUUUUUCUGCGCUAACUGGAACCAAAUAUUUGGUAUAUUUCAAAUGGAAUUCCGGGAUUUUGGAAUGACUACUGGGAGAGAUAUCAUGACUUAGAUCAGCGUGCGCCGGGCUCAUUAUAAAUGCUAAACCACUCUUUGCUGGGAGCCACAAAGUCUGUGGGAAUUAAACAAGAGAUGACCACCGUAUCAGUGGAGUCCCUGGUGGCGAUGGUGGAUAGGAUUCCUAACGCUACUGAGACUCCAGUAGAGGCAUCUGCUGAGGAUAUGGCUGCUACCUUCACCAUCGGCACCAUCCUGUCCCUCGUGUGCCUUGUGGGCGUGUCAGGAAAUAUCUACACCCUGGUGGUCAUGUGCCACUCCAUGCGCUCUGCUGCUUCCAUGUACAUAUACAUCGUCAACCUGGCAAUGGCCGACCUUCUCUACCUGCUGACCAUUCCCUUUGUGGUGUGCACCCACUUCUUAAAGGGCUGGUACUUUGGUGAUGUAGGGUGUAGGACUCUCAUUAGUAUGGACUUUCUCACCAUGCAUGCCAGCAUUUUCACCUUGACUGUGAUGAGCACAGAACGCUACUUUGCUGUGCUCAAGCCUCUGGACACAGUAAAACGUUCCAAGAGCUACCGUAAGGCCAUUGCUCUGCUAGUGUGGACGGCCUCAUUGAUUCUAACCCUUCCCAUGAUCAUUGAUGUAGAGCUCAAGACAGAAAAUUCCAAGUCAAUGUGUCAGACCACGCUGAGUCCUCUUUCUUACAAGAUUUACAUCUCUUCACUUUUCUGCACCAGCAUUGUAGCUCCAGGGGUCAUAAUCGGCUACCUCUACAUUUGCCUGGCACGUACCUACUGGAUCUCACAGACAGAGACUUUUAAGCAGACUCAAAAGCUGCCUAAUCACAAAGUGCUGUACCUCAUCUUCACUAUUGUUCUCCUCUUCUGGGCCUGCUUUCUGCCCUUCUGGAUCUGGCAGCUCCUGGGCCAGUUCAAGCCUGAGAUGGUCUUGUCCACCAAGGCCAGGCGCAAUAUCAACUACCUGACCACCUGCCUGACCUACAGCAACAGCUGCAUCAAUCCAUUCCUCUACACCCUUCUAACCAAGAACUACAAGGAAUACCUUCGGAAGAGGCAGAGGACCUGGACGGCCGGGAGCUAUUUCAACAGAAGGAACCGUUUCCAGCGGUCACCUCGCCGCUCCUUGUCCUCCAGCAGCCAGCAAUGCACGGAGAGCUUUGUGCUCACGCACACGUCACGCAUCAACAACAGCAGUUUGUGAGAGCAAACGCGCUUCCAGACGCUCAGAUGGAGAAGCAUGGGCAGAGCUCCAGGGGUGUGCUGGCCGAGGGUGCCGUGGAAUGGCUGGACCGUGUGGAGAGGAACAGAACAGGGCAAACAGCCACAUCCUUCUGAGCCUGAAAGUCAAAGAGUGUUCCCCUUCCUCUUUACUCUUCUCUAAAUUCAGUGUGAUGCAGUACCACGGGAUAGAAGACUGGCUGCAGCAGGAAGAGCCCGGGGCAGGCCAAGAUGACUGGCAUCUCCUUCCUCAGGAGGAAGGACAAAGGGAGAGGAGGAGAAUAGCCCAGAGGAAGAACAGAAGUUAAUGCAGGAAAACUUCUCCCACCUUCAGAUGGAUCAUCACAUCUUCAGAUCUUUAUGGUUUUGGAGUUACCCAACUUAGCAGUUAGUCUAGUGAAUGGCACCCAACAGCGAAUACAUCAGUUUCCUUCAGCUCAAAUUCAGCAUAUAAUUAGCAGAGUAAAAUCUCAAGAGCAAAGCACGAGUGGCUUAAUAGUUCCCUUUUCUUUCAUUCUGUCCAUCAAACUCUGGACUCCAAGAUGAAGUUUGAUAAAACGGCUAAUGCUUCACAAAAGACAGUGGUAAAUUCAAUAGUGUCAAUCUUCAUCCUUUCAAGGAUGGUUUCAGAAAAUAUCUGGCAUAAAUGUGGUGUUAGCGUGGAUAAUUAGAAGGAAAGAAACAUAAGUAUCGUAAUAUUAAUGUGGAUUCCAGUUGUGUAAGGCCGCAUUAUCGUUUAGCUGGCAGGAGAAUUACAGAAGCAUCAUACAAUUUCGUUCUAUUUGUCUAUCAUCUCUGCCUCACUCAACAAAAUGAUGAAAGGUUUUCUGUUUAACUGCAGGAGACAAUUACUGAACCUGGGUUCAUUUUCAAAGCUUUGAAUACUAUUACACAGACAUCAAAUUGCUGCAGACUGCAGAUGAGAGCGACACCUUGUCUCCUUCUUCACUUUGCUGAAACCCCCCCAAGGCCUGAGGCUGACAGCAGCUGAGCGUGCCACUGACCUCUGAACUGACCCCAGAUCAGUAUUCUAUCUACAUUUCAGCUUGAACCCUUCAGAGAGAGACGAUGAUGAUGGCUGCUCACUUUCUUAAAACAUUUGCAAGCGUGGGUCCAAGCAAAACAUUAGCACAAACAUCAGUGGAGUGACCAAUAGCCAACUGUGACUUAUGUGUCUGCUUAUAUUAUAAUUAACACAACUCUUUUACACAUUUAGAUGAAUAUAUGUAUCAAAAUGUUGACAAGGUUUCUUGUUUUCCGAGAGAUGUGAUGUGCUCUGUCAUAAUUUUCAUGAAGAGAGCAUGAAUUCUUUGAUUUGCGUCAAUUCAAAAAAAAGAAAAAACAGUCAACGUGAGUGGUUUUGUUUGUAAAUAUUGUGGUAUUUCGUUGUUAUCGUUAACACACAUUGUUUACAUUAAAGCAAGCAGCCUCUAUCAAUGUCCUACAAAAUGUCGCAAAAUAAAAUGUUCUAAGUUGCUUAUUUUCCCACAGCUCAUUAUGCUCUUCAACUUCAAGCAGUGAAUGAAGAAUUUUCCUUCCUCUCAUGUGUAAAUCAGAAAUCUGUCUUCUAUAAAGCGAGAUGCUUCUCUUCAAGACUGAUUUCAUUUCCUCACUGGAGCACCGUCAGCCUCCAAAUGACUGAAACAGGCCACAUACUGGUCUGCUUUUUAACAUGUUAAUUUAUUUCUAAUGAAAACAUAUUCAUGGUGGACACAUAUUUUGGACUGGGGUCCAGAGUGCAAACUGAAUAAGCCUGCUUUUCUUAUUAGGUUAAAGGGAGUUGGACGUGCAGUGCUGAGACUGUAAAUACACCUUUUCUCAAUAAAGCUUUACAUUUUGCGCAGGCCA